GGCAAGUCUGGUGGACAUCAGCUCCAUUCUGCUGACGCCAGAGAUAGUCGGGCAUCGUCAAGAUGUAUGCCGGCUAGUCGAUGUACCCGCUUAAUUGAUGGGAGGGUACCGGCAAGACAACAUGGAUCGGGAAAGCUAAGGUAUCUGCAAGAUGCUAUGCUAAUCCCGAGCAGAGCUGCCACGGAGCGAUCUGUGGACAGCCUGUGUAGAGCACGCUAAGGUGUCGGCCAACUCACGUAGUUGGCUUAAGGGACGUGCCAUUCCCACUUGAAAGAGUGGCUGUUAGCAAUAGCGCCCAUCACGCGAAGGCUAACAGAUCAAACAAAGCGCAUGCGAUGUUUGAAGUUUCAAUAGGCCAGCAGCCGCGGUAAUUCCAGCUCCAAUAGCGUAUAUUAAAGUUGUUGCAGUUAAAAAGCUCGUAGUUGAACCUUGGGCCUGGCUGGCAGGUCCGCCUCACCGCGUGUACUUGUCCGGCCGGGCCUUCCUUCUGGAGAACCUCAUGCCCUUCACUGGGCGUGUUGGGGACCAGAACUUUUACUUUGAAAAAAUUAGAGUGUUCAAAGCAGGCCUUUGCUCGAAUACGUUAGCAUGGAAUAAUAAAAUAGGACGUGCGGUCCUAUUUUGUUGGUUUCUAGGACCGCCGUAAUGAUUAAUAGGGACAGUCGGGGGCAUCAGUAUUCAAUUGUCAGAGGUGAAAUUCUUGGAUUUAUUGAAGACUAACUACUGCGAAAGCAUUUGCCAAGGAUGUUUUCAUUAAUCAGUGAACGAAAGUUAGGGGAUCGAAGACGAUCAGAUACCGUCGUAGUCUUAACCGUAAACUAUGCCGACUAGGGAUCGGGCGAUGUUCUUUUUCUGACUCGCUCGGCACCUUACGAGAAAUCAAAGUUUUUGGGUUC
rnacentral:rRNA from 1 species